AUGAUACUAGGUUUUGAUAGACGAUCCUUAGGUUGAGAUGAAUGAUACUCAGGUUGCCAUGUAGAUGGAGGUGAUGAGGAUGAUGUCGUCCACAUACAGCAGAAUGUAGGCCAUGUCUAAACCUUGUAGAUAUAUGAAGAGGGAGUGGUUCGAUGUGCUAUCAUGCAAAGCAUUGGUAUCAUGCCUUAUGCGCUUGCUUAAGACCAUACAAUGACUUCUU
rnacentral:lncRNA from 1 species